UUAAUUCACAGAUAUUAUCAGAAAUAAGAAGCAAGAAAAUAUGAUGUUUUAUAAUAUAAUAAUAAUGAUAAUAAUUGUUUAUUAUCAAUUGGCAACUACUUGCACUAUUAUCGAUACGAUCUCUUAUCGACUUUGUCUGUCGAAUUACUUCGUUAUCAAAUGAAGAUAUAGUCGUGCAUUUUUCAUUUAAUUUAUUAUAUUAUUUACGAGUAAUAAGACACAUAUUUUCUAAUACUGGUAAGUGAUUUUUUUUUUAUAAUAUAUAUAGUAUAAAUAUUUUGAUUUUCUUGUAUAUUAAUAUUUGUUAUUUAUUUCAUAUUUAUUUAGUCUAGAAUUUUUUUGUAUUUUGAUUUUAUUCUAUAAUUUAAAAAUUUUUUGUUUUUAUCUAUUAUUUUUUAUUCAAUUCUUAUUAUUUUUGUCCUCAUUUAAUAUAUCAAAAUCUCUCAUUUUUAAAAAUGAAAUAUGAAUAUAAUAUAAAAAUACUUUUAUUUUUUUUUAUUAUCAGCAUAUUACAUAAAAAUUUUUCCAAAUAAAACGAUAUCGUACUAGUAUCUACAAAAUAUAUUAUAAAUAAGCUUGUUAAUAUUUUAUUAAAAAAUAAAAUUUAUUAAAUCUAUAUAUCAAAUAUUUUUAAAUUUUAAAUAAGUUAAAAGAUAUAAUAGAUAUAUAUAAAUUUUGAUUUUUAAUAAAAUUGAUUUCAUUAAAAACAUUUUAACAUCAAUGAUAAAAAAAAUAUAUUAAACUCUGGCUUCUAACUUGCGGUGGUUAACGAGGCCAAAAUCAGAAACGUGAGGAACGGAAAAAGCGAUGGUCAAACGGAUAAAGAACUAAAUAAAAACGAUAGAAGUAACGAGAAAGGCGAAGCGGACAGAGGCGGUUUUCGCCACUAGCACGAAAUUUCGUUCAUGCGAUUCACGCGAAACAAGAGGAUGCUACGUGCGCGCAAUAAAAUCAAAAUCUCUCGACGAUGCCCUACCGCCCUACCGAUUCUACGUCCUCCACCGUGUUAUACGUACCGUUUUUUUUUUUCGUUUUUCUUUUUAGAAAAAGCCUUCCUAGAUGUAGUAAUAUAUAUAUAUAUAUCUGUGUCGUUAUGUUCAUGCGCGUUAUUCAGCAAUGUGAUUCGCGUACUGACCGAUCAGAUUUGAUUUGUACGAUGUAUGGGAAAAUAUUUUUCUCGAAAAAAUUGAAUAUUUGUUACGAUUUGUUCUAAAAGAUUCGCGAUCGAAAAUAGAUGAACUAAAAAUAUUGAAGAAGUUUUCAUUGAAUAUUCAUUUGAAGCUGAAAUCUAUGACGCUGUAAUGAUAGAUAUAAAAAAGAGAGAAUAAAAAAAUAAACAGGUUUUUCAUAUAAAACCUGUUUGUGGCCAAUUUAUCAGUAAAGCUGUCCACAACAAGCCUUAGACGACGAGAUAGAUAAAAAGUCUAGAUCAAAGAACGUAUUUGUACGAUGAGUUACAUGGUUAGUACGAUAGUUAGCAUGGAGAACAGAUAAAACAAGAAAUUGCGUUUAAUUACAUCUCUGUAUAGCAUGUACAGUUUAAAAAAAAAUUAAUUGUAAAUUUUUUGCUUUAUUUUUUAAAUAUCUUUAAUUUUUAUCUUUA